GACGAACGCUGGCGGCGUGCUUAACACAUGCAAGUCGAACGGAAAGGCCCUGCUUUCGGGGUGCUCGCGUGUCGAACGGGUGAGUAACACGUGUGUGAUCUGCCCUCCACUCCUGGGUAUGCCUUGGGAACAGGGUCGAAUACCGGAUAUGAGCCAUUCUUAGUGUUAUUGUUGGAUAGUUUUUUCCGUGUAGGAUGAGAUCGCUGCCUAUCUGCUUGUUUGUGGGGUUAUUGCCUAUCUAGGCGGCGUCGGGUAGCCGGCCUGGGUGGGUGGACGGCCAAAUUGGGGCUGAGGUACGGCCCAGAAUCCUAAGGGAGGCCAGAGGGGGGAAUAUUGCACAAUGGGCGGGAGCCUGGUGCAGCGACGCCGGGGGGGGGAUGAACGCCUUCGGGUUGGAAAACCCCUUCGCUAGGGACGAAGCUGUUAGUGACGGUACCUAGAUAAGAAGCACCGGCUAACUACGUG
rnacentral:rRNA from 1 species